CUGCAUUUUGUGAAGUGGCUGAUGCUGCGAGUUAGACGAUGAAACAGGCAGCUGAAGACCUAUAAACCAUUUCCUCCUCGUUUUGUGGCUCAAGAAGAAUUUAAAUGGACCAAGACGUGUGUCCAAGUCUGGCCAAGGUCACGUGCAUGAGCACCU